rnacentral:rRNA from 1 species
UACGAAGGGGGCUAGCGUUGCUCGGAAUCACUGGGCGUAAAGGGUGCGUAGGCGGGUUCUUAAGUCAGAGGUGAAAUCCUGGAGCUCAACUCCAGAACUGCCUUUGAUACUGAGAGUCUUGAGUUCGGGAGAGGUGAGUGGAACUGCGAGUGUAGAGGUGAAAUUCGUAGAUAUUCGCAAGAACACCAGUGGCGAAGGCGACAUCCUGGACCAACACUGACGCUGAGGAGCGAAAGCCAGGGGAGCAAACGGG